GGGUUGUGAGGUUAAGCGACUAAGCGUACACGGUGGAUGCCCUGGCAGUCAGAGGCGAUGAAGGACGUGCUAAUCUGCGAUAAGCGUCGGUAAGGUGAUAUGAACCGUUAUAACCGGCGAUUUCCGAAUGGGGAAACCCAGUGUGUUUCGACACACUAUCAUUAACUGAAUCCAUAGGUUAAUGAGGCGAACCGGGGGAACUGAAACAUCUAAGUACCCCGAGGAAAAGAAAUCAACCGAGAUUCCCCCAGUAGCGGCGAGCGAACGGGGAGGAGCCCAGAGCCUGAAUCAGUGUGUGUGUUAGUGGAAGCGUCUGGAAAGGCGCGCGAUACAGGGUGACAGCCCCGUACACAAAAAUGCACAUGCUGUGAGCUCGAUGAGUAGGGCGGGACACGUGGUAUCCUGUCUGAAUAUGGGGGGACCAUCCUCCAAGGCUAAAUACUCCUGACUGACCGAUAGUGAACCAGUACCGUGAGGGAAAGGCGAAAAGAACCCCGGCGAGGGGAGUGAAAAAGAACCUGAAACCGUGUACGUACAAGCAGUGGGAGCACGCUUAGGCGUGUGACUGCGUACCUUUUGUAUAAUGGGUCAGCGACUUAUAUUCUGUAGCAAGGUUAACCGAAUAGGGGAGCCGAAGGGAAACCGAGUCUUAACUGGGCGUUAAGUUGCAGGGUAUAGACCCGAAACCCGGUGAUCUAGCCAUGGGCAGGUUGAAGGUUGGGUAACACUAACUGGAGGACCGAACCGACUAAUGUUGAAAAAUUAGCGGAUGACUUGUGGCUGGGGGUGAAAGGCCAAUCAAACCGGGAGAUAGCUGGUUCUCCCCGAAAGCUAUUUAGGUAGCGCCUCGUGAAUUCAUCUCCGGGGGUAGAGCACUGUUUCGGCAAGGGGGUCAUCCCGACUUACCAACCCGAUGCAAACUGCGAAUACCGGAGAAUGUUAUCACGGGAGACACACGGCGGGUGCUAACGUCCGUCGUGAAGAGGGAAACAACCCAGACCGCCAGCUAAGGUCCCAAAGUCAUGGUUAAGUGGGAAACGAUGUGGGAAGGCCCAGACAGCCAGGAUGUUGGCUUAGAAGCAGCCAUCAUUUAAAGAAAGCGUAAUAGCUCACUGGUCGAGUCGGCCUGCGCGGAAGAUGUAACGGGGCUAAACCAUGCACCGAAGCUGCGGCAGCGACGCUUAUGCGUUGUUGGGUAGGGGAGCGUUCUGUAAGCCUGUGAAGGUGUGCUGUGAGGCAUGCUGGAGGUAUCAGAAGUGCGAAUGCUGACAUAAGUAACGAUAAAGCGGGUGAAAAGCCCGCUCGCCGGAAGACCAAGGGUUCCUGUCCAACGUUAAUCGGGGCAGGGUGAGUCGACCCCUAAGGCGAGGCCGAAAGGCGUAGUCGAUGGGAAACAGGUUAAUAUUCCUGUACUUGGUGUUACUGCGAAGGGGGGACGGAGAAGGCUAUGUUGGCCGGGCGACGGUUGUCCCGGUUUAAGCGUGUAGGCUGGUUUUCCAGGCAAAUCCGGAAAAUCAAGGCUGAGGCGUGAUGACGAGGCACUACGGUGCUGAAGCAACAAAUGCCCUGCUUCCAGGAAAAGCCUCUAAGCAUCAGGUAACAUCAAAUCGUACCCCAAACCGACACAGGUGGUCAGGUAGAGAAUACCAAGGCGCUUGAGAGAACUCGGGUGAAGGAACUAGGCAAAAUGGUGCCGUAACUUCGGGAGAAGGCACGCUGAUAUGUAGGUGAAGCGACUUGCUCGUGGAGCUGAAAUCAGUCGAAGAUACCAGCUGGCUGCAACUGUUUAUUAAAAACACAGCACUGUGCAAACACGAAAGUGGACGUAUACGGUGUGACGCCUGCCCGGUGCCGGAAGGUUAAUUGAUGGGGUCAGCGCAAGCGAAGCUCUUGAUCGAAGCCCCGGUAAACGGCGGCCGUAACUAUAACGGUCCUAAGGUAGCGAAAUUCCUUGUCGGGUAAGUUCCGACCUGCACGAAUGGCGUAAUGAUGGCCAGGCUGUCUCCACCCGAGACUCAGUGAAAUUGAACUCGCUGUGAAGAUGCAGUGUACCCGCGGCAAGACGGAAAGACCCCGUGAACCUUUACUAUAGCUUGACACUGAACAUUGAGCCUUGAUGUGUAGGAUAGGUGGGAGGCUUAGAAGUGUGGACGCCAGUCUGCAUGGAGCCGACCUUGAAAUACCACCCUUUAAUGUUUGAUGUUCUAACGUUGACCCGUAAUCCGGGUUGCGGACAGUGUCUGGUGGGUAGUUUGACUGGGGCGGUCUCCUCCUAAAGAGUAACGGAGGAGCACGAAGGUUGGCUAAUCCUGGUCGGACAUCAGGAGGUUAGUGCAAUGGCAUAAGCCAGCUUGACUGCGAGCGUGACGGCGCGAGCAGGUGCGAAAGCAGGUCAUAGUGAUCCGGUGGUUCUGAAUGGAAGGGCCAUCGCUCAACGGAUAAAAGGUACUCCGGGGAUAACAGGCUGAUACCGCCCAAGAGUUCAUAUCGACGGCGGUGUUUGGCACCUCGAUGUCGGCUCAUCACAUCCUGGGGCUGAAGUAGGUCCCAAGGGUAUGGCUGUUCGCCAUUUAAAGUGGUACGCGAGCUGGGUUUAGAACGUCGUGAGACAGUUCGGUCCCUAUCUGCCGUGGGCGCUGGAGAACUGAGGGGGGCUGCUCCUAGUACGAGAGGACCGGAGUGGACGCAUCACUGGUGUUCGGGUUGUCAUGCCAAUGGCACUGCCCGGUAGCUAAAUGCGGAAGAGAUAAGUGCUGAAAGCAUCUAAGCACGAAACUUGCCCCGAGAUGAGUUCUCCCUGACCCUUUAAGGGUCCUGAAGGAACGUUGAAGACGACGACGUUGAUAGGCCGGGUGUGUAAGCGCAGCGAUGCGUUGAGCUAACCGGUACUAAUGAACCGUGAGGCUUAACCUUACAACGCCGAAGCUGUU
rnacentral:rRNA from 1 species